GCACCACCAGGGGGGAAGCUUGCGGUUUAAUUGAAGUCAACACCGGAAACCUUACCGGGAGCGACAGCAGAGUGAAGGCCAGAUUGAGGGUCUUGCCAGACAAGUGAGAGGAGGUGCAUGGCCGUCGCCAGUUCGUGCCGUGAGGUGUCCUGUUAAGUCAGGCAACGAUCGAGACCCACUUCCCCUGUUGCCACUGAGGAAAAAUUCUGAUGGGCACUCUGGGGGGACUGCCGCUGAUAAAGCGGAGGAAGGAGUGGGCCACGGCAGGUCAGUAUGCCCCGAAUCUCCCGGGCCACACGCGAGCUGCAAUGGUAGGGACAAUGGGUUCCGACCCCGAAAGGGGAAGGUAAUCCUCAAACCCUGCCUCAGUUGGGAUCGAGGGCUGUAACCCGCCCUCGUGAACAUGGAAUCCCUAGUAAUCGCGCGUCAUCAGCGCGCGGUGAAUACGUCCCUGCUCCUUGCACACACCGCCCGUCGUUCCACUCGAGUGAGGAUGAGGUGAGGCGUGGUCCUUUGUGGCUGCGUCGAUCCCUAUUUUCGCGAGAGGGGAA
rnacentral:rRNA from 1 species